GACGAACGCUGGCGGCGUGCUUAACACAUGCAAGUCGAACGGAAAGGCCCUGCUUUUGUGGGGUGCUCGAGUGGCGAACGGGUGAGUAACACGUGAGUAACCUGCCCUUGACUUUGGGAUAACUUCAGGAAACUGGGGCUAAUACCGGAUAGGAGCUCCUGCUGCAUGGUGGGGGUUGGAAAGUUUCGGCGGUUGGGGAUGGACUCGCGGCUUAUCAGCUUGUUGGUGGGGUAGUGGCUUACCCAGGCUUUGACGGGUAGCCGGCCUGAGAGGGUGACCGGCCACAUUGGGACUGAGAUACGGACCAGACUCCUACGGGAGGCAGCAGGGGGGAAUAUUGCACAAUGGGCGGAAGCCUGAUGCAGCAACGCCGCGUGCGGGAUGACGGCCUUCGGGUUGUAAACCGCUUUCGCCUGUGACGAAGCGUGAGUGACGGUAAUGGGUAAAGAAGCACCGGCUAACUACGUG
rnacentral:rRNA from 1 species